AUUGAACGCUGGCGGUAUGCUUUACACAUGCAAGUCGAGCGGCAGCGCGGGGCAACCUGGCGGCGAGCGGCGAACGGGUGAGUAAUACAUCGGAACGUGCCCAGACGUGGGGGAUAACUACUCGAAAGAGUAGCUAAUACCGCAUAUGAUCUAAGGAUGAAAGCGGGGGAUCGCAAGACCUCGCGCGUUUGGAGCGGCCGAUGGCAGAUUAGGUAGUUGGUGGGGUAAAGGCUUACCAAGCCCGCGAUCUGUAGCUGGUCUGAGAGGACGACCAGCCACACUGGGACUGAGACACGGCCCAGACUCCUACGGGAGGCAGCAGUGGGGAAUUUUGGACAAUGGGCGAAAGCCUGAUCCAGCCAUUCCGCGUGCAGGAUGAAGGCCCUCGGGUUGUAAACUGCUUUUGUACAGAACGAAAAAGCUCUGGUUAAUACCUGGAGCCCAUGACGGUACUGUAAGAAUAAGCACCGGCUAACUACGUGCCAGCCGCCGCGGUAA
rnacentral:rRNA from 1 species